CAAAAAGGCAAAGCAGUCGAAAGGCUGUGACGCAAAGCUAUAGGGCCUCUAAUGUGGCAGCCAGUUGC
rnacentral:ncRNA from 1 species